rnacentral:rRNA from 1 species
GAUGAACGCUGGCGGCGUGCCUAAUACAUGCAAGUCGAGCGAACGGACGAGAAGCUUGCUUCUCUGAUGUUAGCGGCGGACGGGUGAGUAACACGUGGAUAACCUACCUAUAAGACUGGGAUAACUUCGGGAAACCGGAGCUAAUACCGGAUGAUAUUUUGAACCGCAUGGUUCAAAAGUGAAAGACGGUCUUGCUGUCACUUAUAGAUGGAUCCGCGCUGCAUUAGCUAGUUGGUAAGGUAACGGCUUACCAAGGCAACGAUGCAUAGCCGACCUGAGAGGGUGAUCGGCCACACUGGAACUGAGACACGGUCCAGCCUCCUACGGGAGGCAGCAGUAGGGAAUCUUCCGCAAUGGGCGAAAGCCUGACGGAGCAACGCCGCGUGAGUGAUGAAGGUCUUCGGAUCGUAAAACUCUGUUAUUAGGGAAGAACAUAUGUGUAAGUAACUGUGCACAUCUUGACGGUACCUAAUCAGAAAGCCACGGCUAACUACGUG